rnacentral:lncRNA from 1 species
GCGGCGGGACGAGGACCGGGAGAAGAAGGGGCGCCGCGGCGGGAGGGCAGCAACAGAGCGCUGCGCCACCGAGCGAGUGGACGGUGGUGUCACGUGCCUGGAGGGAGGAGCUGGAAGGCUGGGGAGGAGCGCGCGCUGGCGUCCUCCCCGCUGCAGCCUCCCCCCCUCCACUCCCCCGCGGUGCUCCGGAGACCACGUGAGCUUCCCUCCCGGUCUAGCCUGGCCCCCUCGCUGACAACCGGCGCCUCUCGGUUGCCCUCUGGCCUGGCCUUUCGUGUCCGCAGAUCUCGGUUUCCUUCAGAGUCCUGCCUUCUGACAGGUGGCUCGAAGGCGUCCGGCAAGAAGAGCUCAGCUCGGCCUCUACUUGGUGAACCACUUCCCUGAUAAAAGUGUCACCUACCCCACCCCCGGUAGUUUUUUCAUCUUCCUCCACUUCUGUCCUCACCUCUUGUUACCCCUCACCCCCCUCAUCCUGUCUCAUAACAACAGUGGAGCCAAGUUACCGUGGGGAUAACAAGUAAUUUUGUCUACACACAGGAAGCUUGGGAUGAAGCGGUUUUUUAUAAUGAAGUCACCGGCCAUAUUUUUGCGAAGACUUCGCAUCAAUGGGAUGCACCUAUAGCCUAGUGUCUAAAGUUGAUUUGUUGAAACAUUAAAGCUAUUAUGUGUCAGCUUUCCUACACUAAAACAUUUUGCCACAUGACAAAUGUUGGUAAAUGUCAGUGGGGUAACUGUAACAUGAUUCACAAGCAGUUACAGAUGGUUCAUGUAAUCAGUUACAAAUGCUGGGCUUAAAAAAAAAAAUAGACUUGUACACACGGUACUGUCCUGAUGCCAGCCACUUAGACGUGCAGUUAGUAGAUCUACAGCACCUGCAUUUAUCACUCGCUGCUUGGAGACCAUAAUUAUCUGAGUCUUGCGAAUUUCGCAUUUAUAUUAAUACGUAGCACUUUUCAAUUAAACAUGAUUGUGUGGCCAUGUGGGUGGGCGCGGGUGCUCACCUCAUUACUAUAGUUGUGGAAAUCGGAUGACAACUUGAGUGAGUGCUCUCUUUCCAGGGUUCCAGAGAUAAACUCAGGUAUCAGGUAGUCAACUCUCACACAGCUAGCACCCGUCGAGUUAUAUCACCGGUUUAUACUUUUUACAUAAUUGAAUAGUAAUAUGAAGAGAAUAUUGAAGCGUAAACUCCACAUUAUUAGUACUUAAGUUUGGGAGAUUUUAUGAAAUUAGAGGAACUCUCUGAUACCAGGACAUUAAUGCUAGAGGAGAGACUCCAAACAAUAUUGAUUCCGAGGCUUAUUGGAACUAAGGAAUUGUAAUGAUGUCAUCACAUGCCGAAAACAACUGAGGCUCCUGACAUCCCAGCACCUAGAAGGCUGCAUCAGAAGAGUCAUAAGCAGAAUGCUAGUCAACUCUACAACGAUGGCAUUUCAGACACCUAAGGACUGGCCUGCUGUGAUGGUGGCAACCUACAUCCUUAAUACCAGCCCUUGAGAGGCAGAGGCAGGCAGAUCUUUGUGACUUCAAGGCCCACACGGUCUACACAGUGAGUUCCAAGCCAUCUACAGCUACAGACUGAGGCCCUGUCUUCAAAAAAAAAAACCAAGUAUAAAGCCAAGCCCAGUAGGCUAUCCCUGGCUUCUGAUGGGAUUUCUUGAUAUUUACCUCAUAACAUACGUCCAUUCUCUAGAGAAUUCUGUGUGAGCUUUUUCCCAUGGAAUCCAACUAAAAGGUUGACUUUUCUUCACUGAAGAGUGGUAGCAAGAAUAAACUAGCAAGUACAUGU